AUUGAACGCUGGCGGCAGGCCUAACACAUGCAAGUCGAAUGGUAACAGGAAACAGCCUGCUGUUUCGCUGACGAGUGGCGGACGGGUGAGUAAUGUCUGGGAAACUGCCUGAUGGAGGGGGAUAACUACUGGAAACGGUAGCUAAUACCGCAUAACGUCGCAAGACCAAAGAGGGGGACCUUCGGGCCUCUUGCCAUCAGAUGUGUCCAGAUGGGAUUAGCUAGUAGGUGGGGUAACGGCUCACCUAGGCGACGAUCCCUAGCUGGUCUGAGAGGAUGACCAGCCACACUGGAACUGAGACACGGUCCAGACUCCUACGGGAGGCAGCAGUGGGGAAUAUUGCACAAUGGGCGCAAGCCUGAUGCAGCCAUGCCGCGUGUAUGAAGAAGGCCUUCGGGUUGUAAAGUACUUUCAGCGGGGAGGAAGGGAGUAAAGUUAAUACCUUUGCUCAUUGACGUUACCCGCAGAAGAAGCACCGGCUAACUCCGUG
rnacentral:rRNA from 1 species